GAUGAACGCUGGCGGCGUGCCUAAUACAUGCAAGUCGAGCGAACGGACGAGAAGCUUGCUUUUCUGAUGUUAGCGGCGGACGGGUGAGUAACACGUGGAUAACCUACCUAUAAGACUGGGAUAACUUCGGGAAACCGGAGCUAAUACCGGAUAAUAUUUUGAACCGCAUGGUUCAAAAGUGAAAGACGGUCUUGCUGUCACUUAUAGAUGGAUCCGCGCUGCAUUAGCUAGUUGGUAAGGUAACGGCUUACCAAGGCAACGAUGCAUAGCCGACCUGAGAGGGUGAUCGGCCACACUGGAACUGAGACACGGUCCCGACUCCUACGGGAGGCAGCAGUAGGGAAUCUUCCGCAAUGGGCGAAAGCCUGACGGAGCAACGCCGCGUGAGUGAUGAAGGUCUUCGGAUCGUAAAACUCUGUUAUUAGGGAAGAACAUAUGUGUAAGUAACUGUGCACAUCUUGACGGUACCUAAUCAGAAAGCCACGGCUAACUACGU
rnacentral:rRNA from 1 species